GUAUGUAUGUGUGUGGAUGGUGUUCAGCACCAAGGGCAGAUAUGUGUGUGUAUAGUGUUCAGCACCAAGGGCAGGCAUAUGAUAGU
rnacentral:pre_miRNA from 1 species